rnacentral:rRNA from 1 species
GAUCAUGGCUCAGGAUGAACGCUGGCGGCGUGCUUAACACAUGCAAGUCGAACGGAACUACUUUGAUGAGAUUCUUCGGAAAGGAUUUGAUUUAGUUUAGUGGCGGACGGGUGAGUAACGCGUGGGUAACCUGCCUCAUACAGGGGGAUAACAGUUGGAAACGGCUGUUAAUACCGCAUAAGCGCACAGUACCGCAUGGUACCGUGUGAAAAACUCCGGUGGUAUGAGAUGGACCCGCGUCUGAUUAG